rnacentral:rRNA from 1 species
CAAUAGCGUAUAUUAAAGUUGUUGCAGUUAAAAAGCUCGUAGUUGGAUUUCUGGUUGAAGCGACCGGUCGGGCGUUGAUUCGUCUGCACUGGAGUCGGUUUUGGCCAUCCUCUAGGAAAGUGCGUCUGGUAUUAAGUUAUCGGGCGAAUGAUCCUGGUCUUUUACUGUGAAAAAAUUAGAGUGUUUAAAGCAGGCCUUCGCCUUGAAUACAUUAGCAUGGAAUAAUAAGAUAGGACUUUGGUCUAUUUUGUUGGUUUGCAGACCGAAGUAAUGAUUAAUAGGGAUAGUUGGGGGUAUUUAUAUUCCGAUGUCAGAGGUGAAAUUCUUAGAUUUUCGGAAGAUAAACUUAUGCGAAAGCAUUUACCAAGGAUGUUUUCAUUAA